AUUGAACGCUGGCGGCAGGCUUAACACAUGCAAGUCGAACGAUGAUUAUCUAGCUUGCUAGAGAUGAUCAGUGGCGGACGGGUGAGUAACAUUUAGGAAUCUGCCUAGUAGUGGGGGAUAGCUCGGGGAAACUCGAAUUAAUACCGCAUACGACCUACGGGUGAAAGGGGGCGCAAGCUCUUGCUAUUAGAUGAGCCUAAAUCAGAUUAGCUAGUUGGUGGGGUAAAGGCCCACCAAGGCGACGAUCUGUAACUGGUCUGAGAGGAUGAUCAGUCACACCGGAACUGAGACACGGUCCGGACUCCUACGGGAGGCAGCAGUGGGGAAUAUUGGACAAUGGGGGCAACCCUGAUCCAGCCAUGCCGCGUGUGUGAAGAAGGCCUUUUGGUUGUAAAGCACUUUAAGCAGGGAGGAGAGGCUAAUGGUUAAUACCCAUUAGAUUAGACGUUACCUGCAGAAUAAGCACCGGCUAACUCUGUGCCAGCAGCCGCGGUAAUACAGAGGGUGCGAGCGUUAAUCGGAAUUACUGGGCGUAAAGCGAGUGUAGGUGGCUCAUUAAGUCACAUGUGAAAUCCCCGGGGCUUAACCUGGGAACUGCAUGUGAUACUGGUGGUGCUAGAAUAUGUGAGAGGGAAGUAGAAUUCCAGGUGUAGCGGUGAAAUGCGUAGAGAUCUGGAGGAAUACCGAUGGCGAAGGCAGCUUCCUGGCAUAAUAUUGACACUGAGAUUCGAAAGCGUGGGUAGCAAACAGGAUUAGAUACCCUGGUAGUCCACGCCGUAAACGAUGUCUACUAGCCGUUGGGGUCCUUGAGACUUUAGUGGCGCAGUUAACGCGAUAAGUAGACCGCCUGGGGAGUACGGCCGCAAGGUUAAAACUCAAAUGAAUUGACGGGGGCCCGCACAAGCGGUGGAGCAUGUGGUUUAAUUCGAUGCAACGCGAAGAACCUUACCUGGUCUUGACAUAGUGAGAAUCCUGCAGAGAUGCGGGAGUGCCUUCGGGAAUUCACAUACAGGUGCUGCAUGGCUGUCGUCAGCUCGUGUCGUGAGAUGUUGGGUUAAGUCCCGCAACGAGCGCAACCCUUUUCCUUAUUUGCUAGCGGGUUAAGCCGGGAACUUUAAGGAUACUGCCAGUGACAAACUGGAGGAAGGCGGGGACGACGUCAAGUCAUCAUGGCCCUUACGACCAGGGCUACACACGUGCUACAAUGGUAGGUACAGAGGGUUGCUACACAGCGAUGUGAUGCUAAUCUCAAAAAGCCUAUCGUAGUCCGGAUUGGAGUCUGCAACUCGACUCCAUGAAGUCGGAAUCGCUAGUAAUCGCAGAUCAGAAUGCUGCGGUGAAUACGUUCCCGGGCCU
rnacentral:rRNA from 1 species